rnacentral:rRNA from 1 species
CGUAACUAUAACGGUCCUAAGGUAGCGAAAUUCCUUGUCGGGUAAGUUCCGACCUGCACGAAUGGCGUAAUGAUGGCCAGGCUGUCUCCACCCGAGACUCAGUGAAAUUGAACUCGCUGUGAAGAUGCAGUGUACCCGCGGCAAGACGGAAAGACCCCGUGAACCUUUACUAUAGCUUGACACUGAACAUUGAGCCUUGAUGUGUAGGAUAGGUGGGAGGCUUUGAAGUGUGGACGCCAGUCUGCAUGGAGCCGACCUUGAAAUACCACCCUUUAAUGUUUGAUGUUCUAACGUGGACCCGUUACCCGGGUUGCGGACAGUGUCUGGUGGGUAGUUUGACUGGGGCGGUCUCCUCCUAAAGAGUAACGGAGGAGCACGAAGGUUGGCUAAUCCUGGUCGGACAUCAGGAGGUUAGUGCAAUGGCAUAAGCCAGCUUGACUGCGAGCGUGACGGCGCGAGCAGGUGCGAAAGCAGGUCAUAGUGAUCCGGUGGUUCUGAAUGGAAGGGCCAUCGCUCAACGGAUAAAAGGUACUCCGGGGAUAACAGGCUGAUACCGCCCAAGAGUUCAUAUCGACGGCGGUGUUUGGCACCUCGAUGUCGGCUCAUCACAUCCUGGGGCUGAAGUAGGUCCCAAGGGUAUGGCUGUUCGCCAUUUAAAGUGGUACGCGAGCUGGGUUUAGAACGUCGUGAGACAGUUCGGUCCCUAUCUGCCGUGGGCGCUGGAGAACUGAGGGGGGCUGCUCCUAGUACGAGAGGACCGGAGUGGACGCAUCACUGGUGUUCGGGUUGUCAUGCCAAUGGCACUGCCCGGUAGCUAAAUGCGGAAGAGAUAAGUGCUGAAAGCAUCUAAGCACGAAACUUGCCCCGA